GAGGCAAGAGCCUACACAAAGGGCCGGCUUGUGUCGAUGGUGCUCGAGGCAACCACCCGUACGAAGGCCUAGCACGUGCCGAUGGUGUUCGAGGUAACCUCCCUCACCGAGGCCCAGCAUGUGUCGAUGGUGGUCGAGGCAACCGCUCGCACCAAGGGCCAUCUUCUAGUAGAUGGUGGUCGAGGCAACCGCCCCCACCAAGGCCUAGCACGUGCCGAUGGUGUUUGAGGCAACCGCCUGCACCAAGGCCCGGUAUGUGCCAAUGGUGGUCGACACAACCGCCCGUACCAGGGGCCAUCUUGUGCCGAUGGUGGUCGAGGCAACUGCCCGCACCAAGGGUCAUCUUGUGCCGAUAGUGGUCGAGGUAACCGCCCAUACCAAGGGUCGACUUAUGCAGAUGGUGGCCGAGGUAACCGCCCGCACUAGGCGCCAUUUUUUGUCGAUGGUGGUCGAGGCAAUCGUCUGUACCAAGGGCCAUCUUUUACCGAUGGUGGUCAAGGCAAGAGCCCACACCAAGGGUCGACUUGUACUGAUGGUGGUCGAGGCAACUGCCUGUACCAGGGGCCAUCUUCUAUCGAUGGUGGUCGAGGCAAGAGCUCGCACCAAGGGUCGGCUUGUAUCGAUGGUGCUCGAGGCAAUCGCCCGUACCAGAGGCCAUUUUCUGCUGAUGGUGGUCGAGGCAACCGCCCGCACCAAAGCCCAGCAUGUGCCAAUGGUGGUCGAGGCAACCGCCUGCACCAAGGCCCAGCAUGUGCCGGUGGUGUUCGACCCAACCGCCCGCACUAGGGGCCAUCUUGUGCCGAUGGUGGUCGAGGCAACUUGCCCGCACCAAGGGUUGGCUAGUGCCGCUGGUGCUCGAGGCAACCGCCCGCACCAAGGCCCGGCACGUGCCGAUGGUGUUUGAGGCAACCCCUGUGUCACACCCUAGGCAUGCGUACCAGGCAUAUCGGGCGCACCAGCAGGUGAGCUAGAGGUUGAGGCCCACAGACCAGGCGUGCUGGUGGGUAUCUAUGUACAAGGCCUAGCAAACGAGGUCAGAACGCCCGCCCACCUUGCAGGCCAGCCCAUGAGACCAAGGCCUGGCAUACAAGCUACCCGCACCACAUCCAGAAGGUUCCAAGGUGCUGGACACACAAGGGAAGCUUUUGGAAGCAAGUAGGAUUAGCAGGAGCAUCCUGGCAGAUUUGGUUGACCUGAAAAUUAGAGUUAGCAUCCUGAUUGGUUGUAAUCUGGUAUAAUCCUUGAUUUUAGCCUUUAUUCUAGGAUAUUGCCCAUUAAGUGUGGCUGGAGCCUCAACUAUAAAUAGAGGGCUGCUCCACCCUCAUUUGUACACCAUCAAACACUUCUGUUUCAGUGAAUACAAGAGCAUUUCCAGAAUUCUGGCUUCUUAUCCUGUUUCUCUUUAACUUGCGUAAUCAGCCCUUCUCGUUGUUCUAGUGCCUGCACACUUGUGUUUUAGGCUGACUUAGGCAUAAAAGAAGAGAUUCCAAGCCUAAGGUCGCACGGUUUCUGAGUCUAAGGUCAAAGCCCCUGAUAGUUGGUAUCAUAGCAAGUUCGAUUCUAUGUGUUUGUGUUGUGCAGGUUAGAUCGUGAUUGAAGAAAUGGCAUCCUAAAGCGACGUUCCUAGCCAACAACUAGAGGCCCAGGAGCAUGGGCAUGGAAGAAGCAAGAAAGCCAGUUCUAGAGAUAUCUGGUCUACCAUUGACGGUAGGCUGGCCAAAGUGGAGGUGACUGUGGGUGACAUGGGGGAAAAGCUUGAGAAAGUAGAGACUCACAUUGCAUCGCUAGACUCUAUAGGGGAGGAGAUCCAAAGUGAGCUGGAAGCUGCUCUUAACAAAGGCAUGGACGUGAUCACCCAGAAGAAUAAGGCCUUGGAGGCUGAAGUGCUGACCUUGCGUGAUGGCAUGGAGGCCAUGUGCCAGCGGAUGGAAGAGCUUACUAGUGAGUUCAUUGCUUGCAAGACUGCCAUCGGAAUGGCAUGUUUGUUGGAGUGUCCAAAUCCAGAUUGGAUGUCCCCAAGCCUAAAGAGUUCAAGGGGACUAGGGAGGCCAAGGAAGUAAACAACUACCUUUAGGGUAUUGAGCAGUAUUUCCAGGCCAUGGGCAUGCAAGACGAGGCGAUAAAGGUAAGCACCGCUGCUAUGUAUCUCACUGAUGUAGCCUUAUUAUGGUGGAGGCACAGGUGUGAUGAUGUCAGGCGUGGGAGUGCCAAGAUUGGAACCUGGGUAGAGUUCAAAAAGGAGUUCAAAGAACCUGGGUAGAGUAUGCUAAUGAUGAGGCACGGGCAAAGUUGCGCAGGCUGAGCCAGCAAGGGGACAUAAAGGAGUAUGUCCAAAAAUUCUCUGAACUAAUGCUACAGAUCUCAUAUCUAGGUGAGAAAGACACCUUAUUUGCUUUCAUGGAUGGGCUGAAGCCGUGGGUGAAGCAUAAGCUACAAAGGAGGGGAGUUCAUGACUUGGCUAAAGCCAUGACUACUGUCGAAGCCUUGAUAGAGUUCAAGC
rnacentral:lncRNA from 1 species